rnacentral:lncRNA from 1 species
UUCAACUCCUCUAGCAAGCAUCUGCCUAAACAUGAUCCACUUCAAAACGAACAUAAACAAAAACAAAUCACUUUAGAGAUCUCAAUGCUAGAACGAGAAACUGUCUUUUUAUUAUUAUUUUAUUUUAUUUUAUUAAAUAAAAUGCUGGCGCUAUUUAUAUAGUAGCGCUAUCGUCUCUCUGCGUCACGUGUCCUUUUAUUAUUGGGUUGUAAAUCUUGCGGUGUUUUAUACAUCUAUCCCGCGUGGUAACUUUAUAAUGUCUUGUAUAUAAAUAAUAUUUCCCCAUGACAGUUUAUUAUUUAUGUUAGACCGACAUCGAUAUCUAAUAUUCUUAUGAGUUUCAUCUGAUCCAAAUUUUGUCUAAAUACUGUCAGAAUGUCAGUUGCUCGUGGUCAUCUUUGGUCUCCUGGCCGGUGUAGUUUAUUUGAAAAUUUGGAAUAAAUAACGGUUUUAAGUUACCGUUAAACGGUGUAAAUAACUCAGAAGAGCUGGAGGGCCUCCUGACACGGCCGAACCGGACAACGCCGUUAUUCAGCAGGUAGAUACUUGCAUUAAACUGUCUUCCUGGUAUAUUUCAUGCAUUUGAUAUUGAUUACGUGAGAUGACGUUAUCAGUUAUAGCUGUAAAAGUGUCAUUUACACGUGUCAUUUACAGUUAUGGCUAGCAUAAGCGUUAUUCGUAGAGCUUUUGGGUUAAAGUACUUAUUUUAUUUUCAUAAUUAGCCUACUACGCCUUUGAUUAAAUUGAAGUAAUAUAAUGUCGCUUAUCAGGACACAGCUGAGCAGAAACAGGCAUUUAAACAUCCAGCUAUCAUCGCAGCUUUAUGUGUGGUUAAUGACUGAAUCCAGAACCCACAGGUGGGCCUUUUAUUGCUUAGCAAAGUGGUGGGAUCCAAGAGACCCGGAGACCUUUAAGCCCCCCUACAAGCAACUUGAGUUGUCUCCAGUUGUUUGGGACUGUUCUUCACGACCUGAACAAUCCCACGCUCUCUACUACUGCAUUCUCACUCUUACUGCCAUCACAGAGGAGAUGGUUUGUCCUGCUUCUUCUGACUGA